rnacentral:rRNA from 1 species
AACAGGAUUAGAUACCCUGGUAGUCCACGCCCUAAACGAUGCAUAUUUGGUGUGGGCCAUUCAUUUGGUCCGUGCCGGAGCUAACGCGUUAAAUAUGCCGCCUGGGGAGUACAGUCGCAAGGCUGAAACUCAAAGGAAUUGACGGGGGCCCGCACAAGCGGUGGAGCAUGUGGCUCAAUUCGACGCAACGCGAAGAACCUUACCUGGGCUCGAAAUGCUUAAGACCAUCUUUGGAAACAGAGACUUCCCGCAAGGGACUUGAGUAUAGGUGCUGCAUGGCUGUCGUCAGCUCGUGUCGUGAGAUGUUGGGUUAAGUCCCGCAACGAGCGCAACCCUUGUCCUGUGUUGCCAUACUGUAAAAAGUGGAACUCGCAGGAGACCGCCAGGGAUAACCUGGAGGAAGGUGGGGAUGACGUCAAGUCCUCAUGGCCUUUAUGUCCAGGGCUACACACGUGCUACAAUGGACGGUACAAAGCGCUGCCAACCCGCAAGGGGGAGCCAAUCGCAAAAAACCGUUCUCAGUUCGGAUUGCAGGCUGCAACUCGCCUGCAUGAAGCUGGAAUCGCUAGUAAUGCCGUAUCAGAACGAUGGCGUGAAUACGUUCCCGGGCCUUGUACACACCGCCCGUCACAUCACGAAAGUGGAUUGUACUAGAAGUCUGCAGGCUGACCCGCAAGGGAGGCAGCGGCCCAAGGUAUGAUUCAUGAUUGGGGUGAAGUCGUAACAAGGUAACC